rnacentral:tRNA from 1 species
GCCGGGGUGGCGAAACUGGCAGACGCGCUAGGUUCAGGGCUUAGUGGGCAUUGCGCUCAUGUGGGUUCAAGUCCCACCCCCGGCA